rnacentral:rRNA from 1 species
UACGUAGGUGGCAAGCGUUGUCCGGAUUUACUGGGCGUAAAGCGUGCGUAGACGGCUAUCUAAGUCGGGUGUGAAAGCCCCGGGCUCAACCUGGGAAUUGCAUUCGAGACUGAAUAGCUAGGGUACGGUAGAGGGAAGUGGAAUUUCCGGUGUAGCGGUGAAAUGCGCAGAUAUCAGGAGGAACACCAAUUGCGAAGGCAGCUCGCUGGGACGUUACUGACGCUGAGACGCGAAAGCGUGGGGAGCAAACAGG